rnacentral:lncRNA from 1 species
UUUUAAGUUUCCGAAUUUGUGUUGGGCCGCAUUCAAAGCUGUCCUGGACCACAUGCAGGCCAGAGGUUUGACAAACUUGAUGUAAAACCUCAGUAUAUAAGGCAGAUAGAGCAGGACCUCUUUUGUUGAAGGGGUGUGUUAAGCCUCCCCAGCCAUGUGGAACUGUAAGUCCAAUUAAACCUCUUUUCCUUCCCAGUCUCAGGUAUGUCUUUAUCAGCAGCGUGAGAAUGGACUAAGACGCCAGAGAAGCUGAGCCUGGAUGGACUUUUUGGAGCCUGUAUCCAGGCCCUGGGAUCUGAGUCCAUGUGACCACAACAAGGCAGACAUGGCUGCCAAUUCCAGCAGGUGCAGAGCAGGAGUCCUCUCUGGUUGGCUGUGCUCUGCCCCUCAGGCAUGGGGCCAAGACAGAAACAUCUGAAGUGGGUCUUCCCGGUCACCCCUGUCCACCUGGGCCUGGCCCACCCAACAGCUGGGGGUUAGUGCCUUGCAGAAAUUUGAGAAGGCUAGAGAGUUGGGUAAUCAUGACUCUGAAAGCCAGCAUCCACAGUCCCCCAGAGAGCCGGGCCAAAGUGGAUGACACCUCCAGGUUCUGGGGACUCCCAGGUUUGGAUUUAGGACUGAGACUGGAGCUAGAGGCCCAUAGGCAUCUCUACUUAUGGGGGCCCCGGUGUGUGUUCACUGCUGUGUGUAGGUGUGAAGGGAAGGGGUAUAGAACAUGGCUCCUCAUGGCUGUCUAGAGGACAUGGGAAGCAUUCUAGGCCUCAAAUCAACAAUGAUCCCAACUCAAUCUGAACCAAGAGCUCACCAUCAGGCUUGACACAGGAGACCCAGAGUCUAAGACAUAGGGGCCUCAACAACACUGCUGUCCCUUCCACUGGACAGGGUCCCCAGAGCAGCCCCUCCUAGGUCCACAGCUGCAGCCACUAGAGCUGCAGCCACUAGAGCUGCAACCACUGUUUGCUUGACCUGACAAUUUCUGAGAGCUGGAUGGGCAAUGACUCUGGUUGGAUGCUGCAGAGGACACCCAUGAGCUUCAGGGAGAGGUCUUCAGUGGAGCGGCUCCUGCACCAUCCUGGGCAGAGGAAUUGGCCUCUUCUACCAGCACUGCACCAUUAACAAGAUCCUAACCUAUUCCAUGUUAUUUCACAAAACAUACUUGAAGAAGGUGAGGGGGAAGAAUGAGAAUCCACCAUCUAUGAAAAUGGAGAUGGGAAUUCAGCUUGGACUAGAAAAGGUAGCACACUGCUAAUCCUCUCUCAUCUUCUCCAGGAAGCUUUCUAAAGCCUGCUUCUGUAAGGUUCUCUGGACCCAAAGUCACAUACUGGGAAGGAAGAGAAGCCUUUGGAUAAACAUCAUGAAUUUUCCUGGAGCAACUGUUCUAUUUAAGAUUUUAUAUAAUAUUUUUUGGAAAGAAGGGAAUAGGUUUUAAAAAAUAUUUUCAAAAGUGUAACAUCCAUCUAUGCUCAUUUUAGACAAUUUGAUCAGUAUAAAAUAUUAAAUAAGAACGUUAAAAACCACUUGGACUCUUACCUAUCAUAAAUAACCACUGUAUUACUGGAUUUUGGUGAAUAUCUUUUAAUUGUGUGUGUUUGUGAGUAUGUGUUUGUAAUCAGAUUUUUUUAAAUUUGAGGCUAUAUUCUAGUCAGCUUUUUAUGUCAAUGGAUUUAAGAAUAUGUUACAUCACUUUAAAUGUAAUGUAUGGAUAUACCACAAUUUAUUUAACUAAUACCCUAUUAAUGAAUAUUUAAGAUGUUUUCUUUUCUUUUUUUUUUGAGAUAAAGUCUCACUCUGUUGCCCAGGCUGGAGUGCAGUGGCGUGAUCUGGGCUCACUGCAACCUCCACCUCCUGAGUUCAAGUUGAUUCUCCUGCUCAGCCUCCCGAGUAGCUGGGAUUACAGACACGCACCACCAUGCCCAGCUAAUUUUUGUAUUUUUAGUAGAGACAGGGUUUCACCAUGUUGGCCAGGCUGAGCUUGAACUCCUGACCUCAGAAGAUCCGCCCACCUAGGCCUCCCAAAGUGCUGGGAUUACAGGCGUGAGCCACGCUUCCAGCCAGGAUGUUUUCAAUGAAAAAAGAUUUUUGAUGAUGUUGUUAUGAAACAUUCUUUAAUAUAUAUACUUGCCUACUUAUUCAAUUAUUUCUUUAUGGCAAAUUCCUACAAAAUGAGUCACAGAAAGUAUUUAUUUUGGUAGCUGAACACACACACACGCUCGUAUAGAUAUAUUCACACAUACACAUACACACAUGUAUACAUACGUAUGUAUGUGUAUAUAUAGACCUAUUCACAUGUACACACAUAUAUACAUACAUAUGUAUGUGUACAUAUAUAUAUAUAAAGUCAAAAAUGUUUUAAACUUAAAUAUGGUUGUUACUUCUUGAGAAGAGACUGGGAUUGGGGAUGCAGUCAGAGGAAUUUGACCAAACCUAUAAUCUUUUAGUUUUUUCACAGGGAGAAAAUAUAUGUAUAACUUAAAAUUAGUUAAAAUUAAGGGUAACAAUAACCAAAAAUGGACAAGAUAAAGUAGUUAUCAAGUGGCAAUCACACAUCAUUGCAAAUAAAAUGAUCUGCUUCCUUUUGCUGAAAAUACUUAACGGUAACUACUGGAAGAAUAGAAAUACGAUAUGUAAAUGUUAAACUGCUGAAAGAAAAAAACAAAGGGAACCAGGACACCUAAAACCUUGAUUAAUCCAACAAAAGUAAGAAAUGAAAAAAUUAAAAGAAACAACAAGAAAGCGCAUAACUAAAAAGUACAAGCAUGUGGACAAAUAUGUCCAAAUAUGCCAAUAUUUGGAAUUAAUAUGAUUUGGUUAAUGUGUCUAUUAAAAGAUGGCAACUCUCUGGAUAACAAAACCAAAUGCAGUUAUAUGUUACUUAAAAGGGACACACAUGAAAAAAUGACACAAAGUUUCAAAAUAAAGGAGUGGAAAAGAUGUAUUAACUAAGGAAAUGCUGGCACCAAGAAGUAGAUAUGCCAAUAUUAAUAUAAGAUAAAAUGAAUCCAAAGCCCAAAGAAUUCAUGGUCACAGAAGACUAUUUAUUUAUUUCUUUAUUUAGAGAUGGGGUCUUGCUCUGUCACCCAGGCUGGAGUGCAGUGGCAUGAUCUUGGCUCACUGCAAUCUCCAUCUCCCAGGUUCAAGCAAUUCUCCUGCCUCAGCCUCCCAAGUAGCUGGGAUUACAGGUGUAUGCCACCAUGCCCAGCUAAUUUUGUAUUUUUAGUAGAGACGGGGUUUCUCCAUGUUGGCCAGGCUGGCCUCGAACUCCUGACCUCAAGUGAUCUGCCCGCCUUGGCCUCCCAAAGUGCUGGGACUACAGGCGUGAGCCACCGUGCCUGGCCAAAGAAGACUUUUUUUUAUUUUGUUCGUGUCCACCCAUGAACCUUUGUGCAUAGCUCCAAAAUGUAUAAAGCAAAGAUGAUAGGACAAGUAGACAAAAAAUAACCCAAGGAUUGAGAGGUGCACUUUCCAAUAUAGUAGCCACUAGCCACACAGUAUAGCCAGUAGUCACUAGGUUAUUUAAUACUUCAAAUAUGGCUAAUCCACGUUGAAAUGUGCUAUAAAGUGUAAAACAUACAUUGGAUUUCAAAGACUUGGUAUGAAAAAAUAAAGUAAAAUAGCUCGAAUAUUUUAAAUAUUGAUUAUAUUUUGAAAAGAUCAUACUUUAGAUAUGAGUUAAAUAAAAUCUAUUAAAAUUAUGAGAACUUAUGAACACAAAGAAGGAAACAACGACACUGGGGUCUUCUUGAGGGUGGAGGUUGGGAGGAGGGAGAGGAGCAGAAAAGAUAAAUAUUGGGUAGUGAGCUUAAUUCCUGGGUGAUGAAAUGAUCUGUAUGACAAACCUCUGUGACAUGAGUUUAUAUAUGUAACACACCUUCACAUGUACCCUCAAACCUACAAUAAAAGUUAAAAAAGAUUGCAACCUAAAAUAAAUGGAUAAAUAAAAUCUGUUAAAAUUAAU